CGAAAGGCGCAGCUACACAUGCAGUCGAGCGAAGCCUUCGGGCUUAGCGGCGGACGGGUGAGUAACGCGUGGGAACGUGCCCUUCACUACGGAAUAGUCCCGGGAAACUGGGUUUAAUACCGUAUACGCCCUUCGGGGGAAAGAAUUUCGGUGAAGGAUCGGCCCGCGUUAGAUUAGGUAGUUGGUGGGGUAAUGGCCUACCAAGCCUACGAUCUAUAGCUGGUUUGAGAGGAUGAUCAGCCACACUGGGACUGAGACACGGCCCAGACUCCUACGGGAGGCAGCAGUGGGGAAUCUUAGACAAUGGGGGCAACCCUGAUCUAGCCAUGCCGCGUGAGUGAUGAAGGCCUUAGGGUCGUAAAGCUCUUUCGCUGGGGAAGAUAAUGACGGUACCCAGUAAAGAAACCCCGGCUAACUCCGUGCCAGCAGCCGCGGUAAU
rnacentral:rRNA from 1 species